CUAAGUUCGGGAUCGAUAACCGCUGAAAGCAUCUAAGCGGGAAGCGAGCCUUGAGAUGAGUUCUCCCUGAUACUUUAAGUAUCCUAAAGGGUUGUCGUAGACUACGACGUUGAUAGGCAGGGUGUGUAAGCGUUGUGAGGCGUUGAGCUAACCUGUACUAAUUGCCCGUGAGGCUUAACCAUACAACACCCAAGGGGUUU
rnacentral:rRNA from 1 species